rnacentral:rRNA from 1 species
UACAGAGGUCUCGAGUGUUAGGCGGAAUCACUGGGCUUAAAGCGUGUGUAGGCGGAUCGUUAAGUGCCUUGUGAAAUCCCACGGCUCAACCGUGGAACUGCUUGGCAUACUGGCGGUCUUGAGCAACCUAGGGGCGAGCGGAACAAAUGGUGGAGCGGUGAAAUGCGUAGAUAUCAUUUGGAACGCCAAUGGUGAAAACAGCUCGCUGGGGGUUUGCUGACGCUGAGACACGAAAGCCAGGGGAGCAAACGGG